GACGAACGCUGGCGGCGUGCUUAACACAUGCAAGUCGAACGGAAAGGCCCUGCUUUUGUGGGGUGCUCGAGUGGCGAACGGGUGAGUAACACGUGAGUAACCUGCCCUUGACUUUGGGAUAACUUCAGGAAACUGGGGCUCAUACCGGAUAGGAGCUCCUGCUGCAUGGUGGGGGUUGGAAAGUUUCGGCGGUUGGGGAUGGACUCGCGGCUUAUCAGCUUGUUGGUGGGGUAGUGGCUUACCAAGGCUUUGACGGAUAGCCGGCCUGAGAGGGGGACCGGCCACAUUGGGACUGAGAUAGGGCCCAGACUCCUACGGGAGGCAGAAGUGGGGAAUAUUGCACAAUGGGCGGGAGCCAGAUGCAGCAACGCCGCGUGCGGGAUGACGGCCUGCGGGUUGUAAACCGCUUUCGCCUGUGACGAAGCGUGAGUGACGGUAAUGGGUAAAGAAGCACCGGCUAACUACGUG
rnacentral:rRNA from 1 species